rnacentral:rRNA from 1 species
GUUGGGGGGAAUGCUUUUACACAUGCAAGUCGAACGGCAGCACGAGAGAGCUUGCUCUCUUGGUGGCGAGUGGCGGACGGGUGAGUAAUAUAUCGGAACGUGCCCAGUAGCGGGGGAUAACUACUCGAAAGAGUGGCUAAUACCGCAUACGCCCUACGGGGGAAAGGGGGGGAUUCUUCGGAACCUCUCACUAUUGGAGCGGCCGAUAUCGGAUUAGCUAGUUGGUGGGGUAAAGGCUCACCAAGGCAACGAUCCGUAGCUGGUUUGAGAGGACGACCAGCCACACUGGGACUGAGACACGGCCCAGACUCCUACGGGAGGCAGCAGUGGGGAAUUUUGGACAAUGGGGGAAACCCUGAUCCAGCCAUCCCGCGUGUAUGAUGAAGGCCUUCGGGUUGUAAA